CCCCCGGCCGCAGUGGCGGUGUCCCCACUUGGCACUGAGAGCCUGCUGUAUGCCAGACACUGCACUGGCUGGGAACACAGGACGAUUACUAUUGUCUCAAGCUGCUCAUGGUCCAGUGGAGGAGGCAAACACAGGAACAGAAAUUGAUGACUCAACGUGCUGGGUAUAAUAAUGGAGGUAGAGGACAGACUCCUUUCUACCCAUGGAGAGAGCAGCUCAACAUGUAGACCUGGAUCAGGACAGCAGUCACAAGGAAUCUUCGAAAUAGCUCUCUCAGGGCUGGCCUGGUGGCCCAGCAGUUAAGUGCGUGCACUCUGCUUCAGUGGCCUGGGGUUCAAGGUUCGGAUUCCGGAUCCUGGGCGCACACGGACACACUGCUUGUCAAGCCAUGCUGGGACGGCGUCUUAUAUAAAGUAGAGGAAGAUGGGCACAGAU